GAAAAGACUGUGAAAGAGAAGGGUAUUUUGAUGGAUGGUCGCAGAGAGCCGGCACUGUGGUGAAAGCCGGCACCAGUCGCAAUAUACAGAUCACUCUUGAGUCGCAUAUCCGAAAGCUACGCCGUUAGGAUAUGCCGUUUUGCCGCGUUAUAGGCUCUAAAGUGGUUUUUCAACUAAGGUGGUACCGCGGGUUUUCAACUCGUCCUUUUA
rnacentral:ncRNA from 1 species